AUUGAACGCUGGCGGCAUGCCUUACACAUGCAAGUCGAACGGUAACAGGUCUUCGGAUGCUGACGAGUGGCGAACGGGUGAGUAAUACAUCGGAACGUGCCUAGUAGUGGGGGAUAACUACUCGAAAGAGUGGCUAAUACCGCAUGAGAUCUACGGAUGAAAGCAGGGGAACGCAAGACCUCGUGCUACUAGAGCGGCCGAUGGCAGAUUAGGUAGUUGGUGGGAUAAAAGCUUACCAAGCCGACGAUCUGGAGCUGGUCUGAGAGGACGAUCAGCCACACUGGGACUGAGACACGGCCCAGACUCCUACGGGAGGCAGCAGUGGGGAAUUUUGGACAAUGGGCGUAAGCCUGAUCCAGCAAUGCCGCGUGCAGGAUGAAGGCCUUCGGGUUGUAAACUGCUUUUGUACGGAACGAAAAGCCCCGGGUUAAUACCCUGGGGUCAUGACGGUACCGUAAGAAUAAGCACCGGCUAACUACGUGCCAGCCGCCGCCGUAA
rnacentral:rRNA from 1 species